rnacentral:rRNA from 1 species
AACGAACGCUGGCGGCAUGCCUAACACAUGCAAGUCGAACGAGACCUUCGGGUCUAGUGGCGCACGGGUGCGUAACGCGUGGGAACCUGCCCUUAGGUUCGGAAUAACUCCCCGAAAGGGGUGCUAAUACCGGAUAAUGUCUUCGGACCAAAGAUUUAUCGCCUUUGGAUGGGCCCGCGUUGGAUUAGCUAGUUGGUAGGGUAAAAGCCUACCAAGGCGACGAUCCAUAGCUGGUCCGAGAGGAUGAUCAGCCACACUGGGACUGAGACACGGCCCAGACUCCUACGGGAGGCAGCAGUGGGGAAUAUUGGACAAUGGGCGAAAGCCUGAUCCAGCAAUGCCGCGUGAGUGGUGAAGGCCUUAGGGUUGUAAAGCUCUUUUACCCGGGAUGAUAAUGACAGUACCGGGAGAAUAAGCUCCGGCUAACUCCGUG